CCCCCCCUUUUUCCUGAUCUUAAGGUAAAACAAUUUAAGCUUUCAUCAUUAAGCAUACUGUUACCUGUAGGGUUUUUUGUAGAUGUUCUUUAUCAGAUUGAAAUGUUCCUAUAUUCUACUUUGUUUUUAUCAUGAAUGGAUAUUGAAUUUUGUCAAAGGCUUUUUCUGUAUAUAUUGAUACAAUCAUGUGAUUUUUCUUCUUUAGUCUCUUAAUAGGGUAAUUACAUUGGUCGAUUUUCAAAUAUUGAACCAGAAUUGCAUCUCUGGAAUAAACACCAUUUGGUUAUGGUGUAUAAUUCUUUUUCUAUAUUGCUGGAUUAUAUUUGGUAAUAUUUUAAGAAUUUUUGCAUCUACUCAAACCAUUAUUACACUAUAUGUUAGCUAACUUGGAUUUAAAUUAAAAAAAUAAACAACAAAAAUGAAUUUUUGUAUCUAUAUUCAUGGGAGAUAUGAAUCUGUAGUUUUUUUACUGUUUUGUUUUAAUAUCAGUGUAAUAUUGGCUUCAUUGAGUGAAUUAGAAUGUGUUUUUUCUUCUGAUUUUUGGAAGAGAUUGUGUAAAUUGGAGUUACAUUUUCUUUAAACUGGAGUUUAGUAGAAUUCUUUGGUGAAACCAUCUGAACCUGGAGAUCUCUUUUUUUGAGAGACAGAGAGAGAGAGAGAGUCCACGUUCAUGCACGCAUGUGCAAGUGGGGGAGGAGCAGAGGGAGAGGGAAGGAGGGAAUCCUAAGCAGGCUCCAUGUUCAGCAUGGGCUCGAUCCUGGCAUCAUGACCUGAGCCGAAAUUAAGAGUCAGACAUUCAACUGACUGAGCUGCCCAGAUGUCCCUGGAGAUUUCUUUUUCAGGGGGUUUUUAGUUAAAAAUUCAAUUUGCCUAGUCAUUACAGGCAAAUUAUUUCACAUUAUUUCAUACUGGAUGAGUUGUGGUAAUUUCAUUUAAGUUGUCAACCUUAUGUGUGCAGAGUUUUCUUUGUAUUCUUUAUUAUCAUUUUGAUGAAUGCAGGGUCUGUAGUGAUAUCUCAUGUUUCAUUAGUGAUAUUAGUAAUUUGUAUCUUCUCUCCUGUUUUUUUGGUCUUCCUAGAGGUCUGUCAGUUUAUUAAUCUUUACCCAAAAAUGUCUUUGUUUCACUGAUUUUUCUCUAUUGUCUUUUGCCUUCAAUUUCGUGGAUUUCUGUUUUUAUUUUUAUUUUUACUUUUACCUUCUGCUUCCUUCAGUUUUAGUUUGUUCUUUUUCUAGUACUUUGAGGUGAGAGCUUAGCAUAUUUAUUUGGGACUUUCUUCUUUUCUAAUAUAAGCAUUGUAGUGCUAUAAAUUUUCUUCUUAAGGCUGGUCUGUGUUCUACAAAUUUUGAUAUAUUAUGUUUUUAUUUUCAUUCAGUUUAAUUUUUCUUAUUGUCCUCAAGAUUUUUUUUUUUUCUGAAUCUAUGGGCUGUUUAGAGGUAUACUGUUUAAUAUCUAAAUUUGGAAAAUUUUUUCUGUUACCUUUUUGUAAAUGAUUUCUGGUUAGAUUCCAUUAUACUCAAAGAACAUGCUCUUUAUGACUUCUGGAUUCCUGUCAAUCUGGGACCUGUGAAACUAGAAAACAAGAAAUAUGAUGAUGGAACAGGUGUAGGAUACCAGUUAUUGGCAUUCCCAUUCCCAAGAGGAGAAAAUGGAAGGUGACAAAUCCAACUUGUCAAACUCCAUUAGGUUUUAAGGCCUGGGAAUAAUCAUCUGUGCUCAUGGAUUCACCUUUGCCCUUGGCUCCUGGCCCCACCCCUGGAGUCAUCUUUCUUUUUUCAUAAAAAAAAGGUAGCAGUUAUUUGCAGUCGGGUUUUACCAGCCUCUCUCUCAUCUCUAGGACUGUGGGAGUCUGACAGCGUGGACAGCCUGUCUUUAUUUCCUUCUGCCUUGGUCCGUUUCAGUGCAGUGUUUCAGCCAAGCUCCUUGUGGGUCUCCCAUGUAUGUCUCAGGGAUUCACUCCAUUAAGCAAUAGGCUUCUCCACAAGUCUUUCCUAGAUAAUCCCAUAUUUAUUCCAGGGUUUUGCUCAGAUGGCUAAGGAGAUCCAUGAGUCAGAUGCCUACUUGUCACAGAGCCCCCUGUUGACUGAAUACUCCAACCUUUCUGUCCUUCUGAGGCACUACCAAAAGGUUAUCCAGCCUCACUCUUGGCUGUCUCUCAGAGCAUGCUUUCCUGACAGCGAAUCUCUCAAUUUUAGCAUUUUUGACAGUCCGGAUAGGAUGAAAAUUUCCUAAAUCAUCAAGCCCAAAUUCCUUUUUGCUUAACAGUUCUUUCUUCAGUUUAUCUUUUUUGUCUCACAUUUUACUUAUAAGCAGUAGGAAGGAACCAGACUUCACCGUCAACACUCUGCUUGAAAAUCCCCUCAGCUAAACGUUGAUAAAUUCUCUCCAACGACCAAACUUUAGUCAGGCUCCUCAGUCCUGUUUUGACUAGGCCUUGCUCUUGAGCUCUGUCCUUGGCCUAUUUAGUUCAGUUUUAAGCAAGAACCUUGCUGGGUCAGUUUAGUGAAAAUCCCCACCCUUGAUAUCUGAUCACGUUCAUCCCCAACCUUUGUUAGCCUGUCUUCAGCAAAAGUCCCCUCAAGUUAGUUUAGCCAGAAUCCCCCUACCCUUGAUGGUUCCUCUUAGUAAUUUUCCAUCCACUGACCUCUACCCUGCUCCUUGGCUAUAAAUCUCCACUUGUCCCUGUAACAGUUCAAUCUCUUGUUUAGCUCAAUCUCUCGCAGCCCGUCUUUAGUGACAGCCUGUCUUUAACAAGUAUCAUGAAAUUUAUUUUUCUUUAACUAUGUGUAAGUCCAGGGGCACCUGGGUGGCUGAGUCGGUUAAGUGUCUUUGUGAUCUCACAGAUCGUGGGUUCAAACCCUGUGUCAGGCUCUGUGCUGACAGCUCACAGCCUGGAACCUGCUUCAGAUUCUGUGUCUCCCUCACUGCCCCUUCCCUGCUUGCACUAUGCCUCUCUCGCUCUCAAAAGUAAUUAACCAUUAAAAAAAAAAUUAACAGUGUGUAAAUCCAUCACUUGUAAGUUCUGCUUUCCACAUAAAAAAUAGGAAACAGCGGGAUGCUUGGGUUGCUCAGUUGGUUAAGCAUCCGAUUCUUGAUUUCCGCUGAGGUCAUGAUCUCCCAGUUGUGAGAUGGCGCCCCGUGCUGAGUGUGGAGCCUGCUUGGGAGUCUCUCUCUCCCUCCCUCUCUCUCUGCCCCUCCCCUGCUCACACUAGCUUGCUCGCUCUCAAAAAACAAAAACAAAAAAAAAAAACACACACACAAAAUUAGGAAACAAUUCAGCUAAGAUACUGCUGUAAAAUAAGGAUCCCUUUUCCUGUGAUUCCCAGUAACAUUCUUCAUCUCCUUCCAAGCGCUCAUGUCUUUGUUCUGUUCACAGUCUAUUGAUGAUAUUCUCUAAUACUGUUAUCAUUUUUUCUUAACCCUGUCCUUCAUUCUGAGUUCUCACUAGCAGAGCCAUUAACAUUCGUAUUUUAACUAACAAUGUAUUCAAAACAAUCCAGUCUUCAGGGCACCUGGAUCGCUCAGUCAGUUGAGCAUCCACUCUUUGAUUUCAGCUCAGGUUGUGGUCCCAGGGUCCCAGGGUCAUGGAAUCGAGCCCCGUGUUGGGUUCCAGGCUGAGCUCAGAGCCUGUUUAAGAUUCUUUUCCUCUGCCUCCCUUCCCCACUCAUGCUCUAUCUCUCUCUCUCUCUCUCUCUCUCUCUCUCUCUCUGUCUGUAAAAUAAAAUAAAUAAAAUAAUAAUAAAACAGUCUAAGCUUUUUCCCGUCAUUCUCCUGAAAAUUCUUCUAGCCUCUACACUUUACCCAAUUUUAAAGCAACUUCCACAUUCUUAGGUAUUGUUUUUACCGCAGCACCCACUCUCAGUACCAAAAUCUUUAUUAGUUUCCUAUUAAUGCUGUAAAAAAUUACCACAACAUUAGUGACUUAAAACAACAGAAAUUUAUUAUCUUACAGUUCUGAAGGUCAGAAUUCUGAAAAUCAGGCUCCUUAGACUACAAUGAAGGUUUCAGCAGGAUAUUCAUUCCAGAAGGUUCUAUGGGAGAGUCCCUUCCUUGCCUUUCUAGCUGCCAGAGACUGCCUAAAUUCUUUGGCAGUAAAGCAGUUAUUGUCUAAAGGUUUUCUGUAUUGCUAAGCUGUCUAUUUCCUCAACUUUUGACUAGAUAGCAGGCGUAGGUUGUGACUGUUUUUGUUUUCUUUUGUUUUUAUUUUUGGCACAAUCACAUUUGUGAUUCUGGGUCGCCAGCUUCUCCAGUCUGGGAGAAUGAGGUAAAAAGAAAACCCAGGAACUCACCACCGGUUUGUUCCUUAGGUCCUAAGGUCCCUAUCCUGUUUGUUGUCUUCUCUCCAACUUUCAUAGUUUUCUUAUGUUUGUUUUUAUAUGUAACGUUCAGGGAUUUUUAGUUAUACUUAGAAGGAGAAGUAGGGGGAAAGAACCUUCUCUCAUCUUUUAAGACUAUAGUGUCUCUUUUUAGGCUCUUCAAAGGCCCUGCACAUAUGGCUGAUGUAUCAAGUACUUGAGAAUCCUUCCGGCCGAGUCUCUUCUGUGAUGCCCUGUGGAGGCAGCUUCCUGUAAUUGGGGUUAUACUUCCUAGAAUUAUGUGCACCUAGAGUCAUUCUUCCUUCUCUGCCAGUGCUUGUUCUGUUGAUUUCUGGGAUUCAGAGCUUCACGAUGGUUGUAGAAACGACCAUAGAGCUACUAAGACAGAAGGCUAGAUGUUUCCUCAAAGUAGAGGGUUCAGUAUGUACUAAGGUAGUUAGAAACCCUCAGCUUCAGAGUCAUAAGGUAAGCACUGGGGGAAGAAAUAAGUUUCCCUUUGUUUUGGUGACGAAACAUGUAUUGCUUAUUGUCGUUCUAGUAAUGCUUCAGGUGUUGUUUUUGGAAAUUCCUUCUAAGUUAUUGUGAGAUACGCUGCCAGUCUUAAUUUAUUUUUGGUGUUAUCUUGUUGCCUUUUUGUGAAUCUCGUAAGUGUCGGAGAGGUUAUGUUGUGGAAAGCCCAUCAGCACACUAUUAACAGCACUUCCAGAGGAAUGGUUCUGACUGCCCAUUGCAUAGCUCUACCCACGUGUCCUGCGGGCACAUCACCUCAAGCUCAGUACAUCCUAGAUAAAGGCAGGCCUGGGAUCCAGCAUUUCUUCUUACCUCCGUCUCCUCAGAGCUUUCUUUCAGUUAACGAUAACACUAGUUACUCAAUUGCCUGAGCCAGAAAACUGCAGGUCACAAAUUUCUCCUUGCACUUCACCUCCACAUGUUUUAUUUCUUGGGUCUUGUCAGUUUUCACGGGCUUUGUCUGGAUUGGGCCUGUCGGCCUGAGUCCCCGCAAACCCAAUGGAUUCCAGUCGAAGCCCCCUUCAAUUUUUCUUCACUCUGCUACCAAAUAUCUUAAAAGGCAUGUGUUGUCAUAUUGUUCUACUUAAAAUUCUUUAACGGCUUCCUUCUCUGUAAGUAUAGGAAAACAACAAGCAAAAUAUUAAUAAAAAGCAAAUUCUUCACAAUCCAGCCCAGUGGUUCUCAAAUCUGGAUAUUCCUGGAAUCACCUGGAUAGCUUUGAAGACUUAAAAGUUCCUGGGCCUCAUGCCGGAAAAUGCUGAUUUAAUUGGUGUGGGCUGAUGUCCAGGCUUUGUUAUUAUUGUUGUUGUGCCUUUUUUGUUGAGGUGAAACUAACAUAAUAUAAAAUUAGUGUUUUAAAAGUGACUAAUUCAGAGGUAGCCACCUCUAUUUAGUUCUAAAUUCUUUAUCACCUCAAAAGAAAACUACAUUCUCAAUAAGCAGUUAUCUCCCAUCCCUCUCCUUACCCAGCCCCCUGGAAACCACCAGUCUUUGUUCUGUCUCUAUAUAUUUAACAUUUCUGGAUGUUUCAUCUAAAUGGGAUCAUGCAAUAUGUGAUCUUGUGUGUCUGAAUUCUUUCGCUUAGCAAAUUAUCUUCAAUGUUCUUCAUUCUUUCCAUGGCUGAAUAACAUUCCACUGUAUGUAUACAUAAUUGUUCAUCCAUUAAUCCAUUGAUGGACAUUUGGCUGUUUCCACCUUUUGAAUGUUGUGAGCAGUGCUGCUAUGAGUAUGCACGGCAGAUGGAUUUUAGUACCUGCUUUUAGUCCUUUCAAAAUGCAUGGGAAUAGAACUGCUGAGCUAUAUGGUAAUUCUGUGUUUAGCAUUUUAAGGAACUACCGAACUGUUUUCCACAGCAACUGAACCAGUUUACAUUCCUGCCAGCAAUGUAUGAGCAUUCCAGUUUAUCUACCCUUGCCAAUACUUGUUAUUUCCAGUUUGAUUUUAUUAUAGCCACUCUAGUAGGUGUGAAAUGGUACCUCAUUUUGGUUUUGAUUUGCAUUUCCCUAAUGACUAAUGAGGUAGGGCAUCUAUUCAUGUGUUUUUUGGCCAUUUGCAUAUUUCUUUAAAGAAAUGUCUGCAUAUUUUGCCUAAUUUUAAAGUGGGAUAUUUGUUAUUAUUUUGUUGUUGAGUUGUAGUUCUUUAUAUAUUCUGGAUUCUAGACCUUAUCAGAUACGUGAUUUACAAAUGUUUUCUCCCAUUCUGUAGGUUGUAUUUUCACUUUCUCGAUAAUAAUGUCCUUAAGUGCGCAAAAGUUUUUGGUUUUCAAGAAGCUGAAUCUAUCAUUUUUUUUUAUUUUGUUACUCAUGCUUUGGUCGUAUCUAAGAAUCAGUCCAUUGCCAAAUAAAAGUCAUGAAGACUUUUACCUCUCAGUUUCCUUCUAACGGUUUUAUGGUUCCAGUUUUUUGAGUUAAUUUUUGCCUGUGGUGUGAGGUAGGGGUACAACUUCAUUCUUUUGCAUAUGGAUAUCCAGUUGUCCCAGCCCCAUUUGUUGAAAAGAUUUUUUCCUGCAUUGAAUGGUUUUGACACCAUUGUUGAAAAUCAACUAUCCAUAGACACAUAGGUUUAUUUAUCAACUCUCUGUUCUGUUUCAUUGGUCUGUAUGUCUUUCCUCAUGCCAGUACACACUACUUUGAUUACUGUAUCUUUAUAAUAAGUUUUGAAAUUGGGAAGUAUGAGUCCUCCGGCUUUGUUUUUCUUUUCUAAUAACAUUGUUUGGCUAUUCACAGCUCUUCACAAUCCAUAUAAGUUUUGAGGAAAAGCUUUCAACCUUUGCAGAAAUUUUAAAAAAACAGUGAUAUUUUGAUAGGGAUUUUAUUGAAUCUGUAGAUUGCCAUCUUAACUAUAUUAAGUCUUCCAAUCCAUGAACAUUGGAUGUCUUUCCAUUUAUUUAGGUUUUCUUUAAUUUCACUUUCAUUUCAACUAUUGUACUUUUCAAUUCCAGAAUUUCUAUUUGGUUCCUUUUUAUAAUGUCUAUGUCUUUACUGCUAUUAUCUGUUUGUUUAUACAUGAUUGUCCUGACUACGCUGGAUUUUUUUGCAUAAUUAAGGCAGUUGAUUUAAAGUCAUUGUUUAAUAAGUCCAAAUCUGUAUUUCCUCAGGCAGUUUCUGUUACUUCUGUGAAGGGCCAUGCUUUCCUGUUUCUUUGUAUACUUCAUAAUUUCUUAUUGAAAACUGGACAUUUUGAACAGUAUAAUGUAGUAAAACUGGAAAUCAGAUUUUUCCCCUUCCUCAGCAUUUGUUUUUGUUGCGUGCUGUGGGAUGUUUUUGUUUAGUGACCCUUCUAAAGUAUUUUUGUAAAGUGUGUGUUCUUUGUUAUGUGUGGUCUCUGAAGCCUCUUUUCCUUUAGGUUGUAUUCAGCUAGUGUUUUGAGAGUAAUUUCCUUAAACACCAUGAACUAAGGGGGAAAAAAGGAGAAAAACAAGAAGAAGAAGAAACAAAAAUGCCAAGCACACAACACACACACACACACACACACACACACACACACACACACACUCCUCUCCCAGUCUUUGCAGUUUGGCUGUUUGCUAGUGCACUCCAUCAGUAUUUAGCCAGCGCAUUUAGAGUAUUGUCUCCAUGUUCUUCCUGAGUUCACUAAGCCCAGAAAUCUGCCAGAAGGGAAAGCUUAAGGCUUUCUCACUCCUUCUGUGAAUAUAUAUCCUGUCUUGGCUGUAUGCAUAGCCCUCUAAAUUCCAUAAUGUACAUGGAAGAUUUUGCAUGCCCUUCUUCCCUAAAGACACUCUCUUUCCAGCUUUCCCUUUAAGUUUUUGGCACUCUGUCAUACACCUCAACUGUAAUCUUUCGUCCAGGUGACUACAGGCUGCUAGUUCAUUUUAGAAUGAUUUGAGGAAUGCCUACUGCCUUUCCAGCCUGAGCUCUGAGGUGAAACAAAGACAAAUGCUUCCUGUCCGUCCUUCAGAUAGCCUCAGACAGAUUAAAACAUAGAGACCCAAUUCUUUGCAAACAAGUUCUGCUCUGCUCCUUCCAGAGCCAGAGACCAGAGUCCCACGCUGGGAAUGUGGGUGGCCUUCUUCAAGACCACCCCUGAGCUGGGGAGGGGGUGCGGCAAGGGCAAGUAAAAAUGCCAUGAAGCUUUUCUGCCAUUUUUCAGUUUUUACCUUUAUUCAGCAUUUAGUAAUGGCUGUUUUCCAGAGCAAAGGUAGCUCUGAUCGUUUCCCUUUGAUUUUUUUUUUUUAAUGCUUCUGUGGACGGAUGAGUGCUUACAAUUGCCUACUUCCUCAUUUUCACUGACCGCUUACUAUUUUUUAAAGUCUUUUUUAAUUAUUUUUGAAAAGACGAUUCUAGUGAGCAGCCUCAAUGAGAACGGCCACAGCCACAGGCUUCCUCCCCUCCAUGGUCAUCUAUCACCACAGUCUCCCUAGUUCCGUCAGAGUGCUCAUAGCUGCAGCCUGUGGAUCUCUUAGAUCCUUGACUUUCCAUGCACAGUGCACUCCCAUUUCUCACUUUCCCAGGGAGAGUCCGACCACCUCCACCACUUUCAUAAUUGUCUACCGGUUUGCUCCUCUAACUGAAUUGAAGCUUUGAGGGCGAGCAUUUUCUCUUCCUCACCUUCCAUACCGCAGUGUCAGACACAUAUUAGAGGGUCAACAAAUGUUACAAGUGAACCACAAACUGUGCUUAGUAAGUCUUGCUAAAAAUAUGUAUGUUGAUUUAAAAUAUUGUCUGUAUAUUGAUCUCAAGGAAAACACUGACAGUCUUCUCCCCGUCCUUCUCCUUCCAUCAUCAUUUUCUUUCUCAGGCAACACCAGCCCCAGCAAGGAGUAUUCAAAGACUGUGAAUAAAUAAUUGUCUUAGGAGAAAUAGUCCUUAGCCCCCAGAUCUCACCAGUUCAAUGACUAAAGGUCCUACUUCAUUUCAAAUGCACACCGUCGCUUGGCAGUGUCCUGGGAUGGGUGCCUCUGAUGCCCACCUGCUGCAAGCCUGGUGUAGGUUCUGUCAUCUCUCUCUCUCUCUCUCUUUAAAUUUUAUUUAAAUCCAAGUUAAUAUACAGUGUAAUAAUGGUUUCAGGAACAGAAUUUAGUGAUCCAUCAUUUACAUAUAAACCCCCAGGGCUCAUCCCGACAAGUGCCCUCCUUACUGCCCUUUACCCCCUUAGCCCAUCCUCCCACCCAGCAUGCCUCCAGCAACCCAGUUUGUUCUCUGUAUUUAAGUCUCUUAUGGUUUGUCUCCCCUUCCAUUUUUAUCUAAUUUCUCCUUCCCUUCCCCUGUGUUCAUCUGUUUGGUUUCUUAAAUUCCACAUAUGCAUGAAAUCAUAUAUGUAUCUUUCUCUGAUUGACUUCACUUAGCGUAAUAUACUCUGGUUCCAUCCACAUUGUUGCAGAUGGCAAGAUUUCAUUCUUUUGUAUCUCUGAGUGAUACUCCAUUGUAUGUAUAUACACCACAUCUUCUUUAUCCAUUCAUCCAUUGAUGGACAUUCAGGCUCUUUCAUACUUUGGCUGUUGUUGAUAGUGCUGCUGUAAACAUUGGGCAUGCAUGUGUCUCUUCAAAUCAGCAUUUUUUUGUGGAUAAAUACCUAGUGGUACAAUUGCUAGGUUGUAGGAUAGUUCUAUUUUUAAUUUUUUGAGGAACCUCCAUACCGUUCUCCAGACUGAUUGCACCAGUUUGCAUUCCCACCAUCAGUGCAAAAGACAUCCUCUCUCUCCACAUCCUUGCCAACAUCUGUUAUUGCCUGAGAGGUUAACAUGAGACAUUCUGACAGGUGUGAGGUGGGAUCCCAUUGUGGUUUUGAUGUGUAUUUCCCUGAUGAUGAGUGAUGUUGAGCAUCUUUCCAUGAAUCUGUCCGCCAUCUGGAUGUCUUCUUUCAAAAAGUGUCUAUUCAUGUCCUCUGCCCAUUUCUUCACGAAAGUAUUUUUUGGGUGUUGAGUUUGGUAAGUUCUUUAUUAGAUUUUGGAUACUAACCCUUUAUCUGAUAUGUCCUUUGCAAUUAUCUUCUCCCAUUCCAUCGGUUGCCUUUUAGUUUUACUGAUUGUCUCCUUCACUGUGCGGCAGCUGGCUUAUCUCGAUGAGGUCCCAGUAGUUCAUUUCUGUUGUUUGUCAUCUCUUGACCUUAACUGCUGCUCCUCUUGCUCCUGCAGACUAGAGAUGGGCCACUUCUCCCUGUCACUGUCAGCAUGGUGCAAAGUGCUGUGCUCCUCACUUUCCUACUGAGGCAGGGGUUCUGGUAGCUCCCAUUUCAGGUAUGUAGUAGCCGUGGGUUCCGACAUUAACUCUAGCCCCUGCAUUCAAUUUCAGAAGUAUUGUCUGUCUUGUCACCUCGGAUUUUCGUAGAAUCUAGUGCUUAAAAUACUGUAAAGACUUAGUCUUAUGACAUUCGUAUCCACAAAAGCCUCUUGUGUUAAAAAUGCUGUUUGUCACCGUCCUCCUGUCUCUUAGGUUCAGAGUCAGUGGUUCGGAGUUGAGCUCAGGGAUUUUACUGUGUGACACGUGCCCCAGGUGAUUCUGGUGCUGGCUGUCCUCAGGCAGCACACUGGUCAUCAGUGCCACAAAGGCUAUUUAUUGCGUCCUGUUGUGAGCUUCUAAGCACGAGAACAGUGUGCACUUAGAAUUCACUGACAGGUCCACUGGUCCACAUAUUUAUUUACAACGAUGCCUGGAAAGUUUUUUUUUUUUUUAAUUUCCAUAUUUAAAUUGUAUCGAAGUGAGGUGUCUCAUGGUUAAUAAAAACCGAAUCUUCCUGUAGAACUUAAAGUCACCAGUCCCUUCUCCCAUCCUUCCUUACCCCUGACCCACUCUUCCCAUGGGACACUACUUCUAACCAUUCCCUUUAAAAUUUUGGUAGUGCCUAUUUCCUUAUUCUAAAAUUAUGCAUGAACUGCCAUUGAUUGAUUGAUUAUCAUCUAAUCUAGACUUCAUCAUCCUCUUCCAAUAAUGGAUAUGGAAAUUGUUCCCUUCACUAUUACUUCUCUUUUAUUCCUGUGAAUUUAUUGUUUCUAUAUCUUCUAUCUUUAGAAAAAUCUAUGUAAGCCUAUGUUUCCUGCUCUAUCCAGCAUAAACAGCCUCUCAGUUUUCCACUCUGUAAAAGGAUGGCAUUCACUUCCCACUUUCUCUUCCCAACUUCCAAUCUCUGUGAGCUCUCAAGGUCAUAUCAUUUUUAUUAUUUGUAAUAAAAUUAUAAUUGUAAUUAAAUUAGAUGGGUUGUUCAACCUGGGACUUGAUAAAUAUGGACUAUAAAAAGGAUUUAAUGGAAGGACUACUAGAGAAUGAGAAUUGUGUAGUUUACAGUUCAAGUAUGCAUAAUUUUAUGCAACAAAUUUUGCAGAACAUACAUUAAUGUUCUUAAAUUGGUGUUUCUAAAUUAGCUUUCAAUAUUUCUUCAUUUAGAACUAGUACAAAUUUCAGCAAGCUGGGUUUAUCUGUUGCAGAUUUUCCUUCUUGUUGUGUGAGUUCUGUUGACCCUCUUCCCAGUUUUUGCUUCAUGCUGUUCUGCACCAAAUGCCUGGGCUUCCUUGUAGCUGAGCCUCAAGUGGUCACUUGUCAUUCUGUUGCUGCACCUCUAACUGCUCUGUAUUUCAAUUUCUAGUAAUAAAUUCCCUUUGAUCUCUAAGAAUACCUAAUGCUUCCAAAGUAGGGUCAGUCAAAUACCUGAUUUUGGUUUCAUAUCAUCCGAAAGCCUUUUCUAGAUGUGGUUACAUGCUUUCUUGAAUCUUACUCAUCACAAUUCUUACAGAUAUAUAACAUAACACAUUUUACUAUCAUUUGCUGUCUCUUAUUUCUCGUCUGAAAAGUUGACUUCCCAGAGUUUUCCCUCUUGCCCCUUCCCCCCAUUGCUGUGCUGUGUAGCCAAUGCACCUGUUUUAUUUUCUUUGUAGCACUCCUCUCCAUGAGAAGUUGUGCCAUUUAUGCAUUCUCAAGUGUUGCCCUGCCCUGGGAGUGAGCUCCAUGAAGCGAAGCAGGUGCUUUGUUCUUUCUCUCCCUCGCCGACCUAUCCCCUGAUCUAUCCUGAGAGCCAGAGCAGUGCCUCAUGCAGACUGGCUGGCUUCCUGAAGAUUGCUACAAAUCUUCAAUGCAACAAAACCUACUCUUUGAGAACCACUGCACUACACUAUGCUGUCUCUCAAGCAGGCUUUAACUCCUGUAUUUUGCUUGGAUUGUACUGACGGGAUGAAUUUAUACCAUGCUUUCUGUGGGUGGGAAAGGGGUAAGUGUCACCUCUAGAUUGAGGUUGAGGUAUAACAAAAAAUAUUCGUGGGGAGCCUAGGUGGCUCAGUUGGUUGAGCACCCAGCUCUUGGUAUCCGGUCAGGUCGUGGUCUCGUGUCAUGGGGUUGGGCUCCACACUGAGCGUGGAGCCUGCUUGGGAUUCUCUCUCUCCCUCUCUCUCUCUCUCUGCCCUUCACCAGCUCAUGCAUGUUCUUUCUCUCCCUCUCCCUCUCCCUCCCUCUCUCUUUCUCUCUCUCUCUCUCCACCCGCCCCCAAGACAAACAUUUUUUAAAAAUAUUUGCUGAGGCAGUAGCUCUCAAACUCUAAUGUGCCCAAGAAUCACAUAGAAAACUUGUUAAAACUCUAAAUUGAUUCAUUCUCUUUCCAGAGAUUCUGAUUUAGUAGAUAUGAAUGGGGCACAUUAAUUUGCAUUUCUAAUAAGCUCACAGGAUCAAACUGUGAAAACAGUGUUCUAAGACAGAUCCAUAUGUGCUUCCUGAUUAGUACCAAUACAUCUGUGUCUGCAGGAACUGAGAGAUUUUGUUUUUAUGUUUUGUUUUACUAUUUAACUAUUUAGCACUUUCACACAAUUUCCUCCGAAGGGAGCAUGGGGUAUCGCUUUCUCUUCUGUCAAGUUAUAUGAAACAAGUGUACCCAGGUCAAGGGAUAGUUGAGUAACAAGGUCCACCUUCUCAAAUCCACGUUCACCUUUGCCCCCGAAUGGAGCCCAGAGACAUUCCAUCUUUCUCCUGAGGACAAGCACUUGCCCACCUUGGGCACAAGGCAAACUAUUUGAAGUGGUCUCCAUAUCAUCUUCUUGUUAGAGUCUUAAUCUGAGUUCUAGGCAUGCCUGGUGAGUUACCUCUGAGAUUAAAGCUCUGUGCAUUAUGAGUCCUGUAGGAUCUCAUUCUGUAAGGAUUUCUGGUUGCCUGUUCUGGCCUGUGAAAACACCAGUAUAAACGCAGAUUAGGAGUUGACUUUGGGACCCUAAUUCAAUUGGGAAGGCAUGAGUAGGAAGAGAAGAAAUAUUUCCCAUUUUGCACUUAGAAUUAAAUAAAUAUGGUGAAAUUUCUUUUUUCACACAGCUGUGAAUUUGAAGUUGAAUUACUUACAGGUCUUGCAAAUAACAUAGGAUGAUAGGAACCACUUUUACUAUUAUCUGCUUUUUGCAGAAAACUGAAAAGAGUAAGAAAUGCAAAAUAUGCAUCAAACGUCAGAUUCUGAAAAUAACGCUAGAGCACUUCUGCAGGAAAGGCUGUACGAUUGUAAAAUAAGUUUUCCUGGCCCUACCCCAUUGCCCAUCCCAGGCAGUGUGAAGGAUGGUGAAGAAUUCUGAAUGGGACUGCAGGGCCAAUAGAGAGACCUCAGGGGGGAGAACUGGGGGGCUGUGGUCUCCCAGAACUCAGAGAAAUAACAAAACUGCCAGAAGCCUUGCUUGCCAACAAAUGGAUGAGGAGUCACACGGGCUGAGCCUGAGCGUGAGCUCGGCUCCAUCAGCAACGUGAGCUGUAUCUCCAUGACUCUGUUUCCGUGUCUGUAAAAUGGAAAUAAUAGAGUACCCGCUUCCCAAGAUAGGUUCGAGGACUUGAUGAUAAUGUUUGAGAAGAACAAUGCCUGACACACGGCAGUGCUGUGUGUGUUAGAAUAGAGCGAAUUCACUCCUAAGUGCCAGGGGUGCUUUUUGUUCUGGUGGUGCAGCAGUGAACUCUGAUACUUCUCAACCGUGAUGUUGGGGGCCAUCCUUUACACAUCUCUGAUUUUAAGAUGUUUCAUCUUUAAAAACCUUUCUAGUUCCAAAAUUCUAUUUAAAAAGGGAAAUGUUACUAAAUCAAAGUACCCAUCAACACAACAUUGAUCAUUUUCCUACUGUGAUAGUUAAUGUGGCAACUUGACUAGGUAGGCCAUUGUACCUAGAUAUUUGGUCAGAUACCAGUCUAGGUGUUGCUGUGAAGGUAUAGUUUAGAUGGGAUUAACAUUUAAAUCAGUAGACUUGGAGUAAAGUAGAUUAUCUUUCAUCCUGUGGGCAGACCUUAUCCAAUCAGUUGAAGGUCUUACAAGAAAAAUGAUUGAGGCCCUCUGAGAAAGAGGGAACUGUGCUCCAGACUGCCUUUGGACUUGCACUGCAAUAUCAAUUUUCUCCUCAUCUCCUGUCUGACAGCCCACCCUGCUGAGUUUGGAUUAACUGGUUCCCACAAUCACUUGACCAAUUCUUUAAAAUAAAUCUCUCUCCCUUCUGUACAGCAAAGGAAACAAUCGACAAAACUAAAAGGCAACCAACAGAAUGGGAAAAGAUAUUUGCAAAUGACAAAUCGGACAAAGGGCUAGUAUCCAAAAUCUAUAAAGAGCUCACCAAACUCCACACCCGAAAAACAAAUAAUCCAGUGAAGAAAUGGGCAGAAAACAUGAAUAGACACUUCUCUGAAGAAGACAUCCAGAUGGCCAACAGGCACAUGGAAAGAUGUCCCUCAUCAGGGAAAUACAAAUCAAAGCCAUACUGAGAUACCACCUCACAUGGGUCACAGUGGCUAAAAUGAACAAAUCAGGAAACUGUAGAUGCUGGUGAGGAUGUGGACAGAUGGAAACCCUCUUGCACUGUUGGUAGGAAUGCAAACUGCUGCAGCCACUCUGGAAAAUAGUGUGGAGGUUCCUCAAAAAAGUAAAGAUAGACCUACCCUAUGACCCAGCAAUAGCACUGCUAGGAAUUUACCCAAGGGAUACAGGAGUACUGAUGCAUAGGGGCACUUGUACCCCAAUGUUUAUAGCAGCACUCUCAACAAUAGCCAAAUUAUGGAAAGAGCCUAAAUGUCCAUCAACUGAUGAAUGGAUAAAGAAAUUGUGGUUUAUAUACACAGUGGAGUACUACAUGGCAAUGAGAAAGAACGAAAUAUGGCCCUUUGUAGCAACGUGGAUGGAACUGGAGAGUGUGAUGCUAAGUGAAAUAAGCCAUACAGAGAAAGACAGAUACCAUAUGGUUUCACUCUUAUGUGGAUCCUGAGAAACUUAACAGAAACCCAUGGGGGGAGGGGAAGGAAAAAAAAAAGAAAAAAAAGAGGUUAGAGUGGGAGAGAGAGCCAAAGCAUAAGAGACUCUUAAAAACUGAGAACAAACUGAGGGUUGAUGGGGGGUGGGAGGGAGGGGAGGGUAGGUGAUGGGUAUUGAAGAGGGCAUCUUUUGGGGUGAGCACUGGGUGUUGUAUGGAAACUAAUUUGACAAUAAAUUUCAUAUAAUAAAAAAUAAAUAAAAACCCAAGAUUUUAUACAAAAAAAUAAAUCUCUCUGCCUCUUCUGAUAGAUAAAUAGGCAGGCAGACACACAGACAUGUUUAUAGAUAUGUUAAAGAGCGUGUGUGUGUGUGUGUGUGUGUGUGUUUAUAGAGAGAUACAUGCAUAUGUUUUUAUUGGUUCUUUUUUUCUAGAGAAUCCUGACUAAUACACCUAGAAAAAUUAAUUUUAGGCCCGAUGUUUUAUCAUUUGGGGAUCAUAAACAAUGUCACAUCAUUUAAAAUGUAAUAUAUAUUAGCUGAUAUGAGAAACUCUACUGACUGCUCUUUUUUAAUUGCCCGAGUCACUAAAAAAGGAGGUGAAUGCAUCAUAUAAUCAACUGUUAGGAGAUGUUGAUUCCUUUCCACAGUCCUCCCCUUCUCUAUGAAAUGUGGAGAUUACAAGGAGUUAAAAGAAAAAGUCUGACACACGUUUAAUUUUCAGAUACGCCCUUCCAGAUCCACCUGGAGUGGACAGACACCACAAGUUUGGCUGCUUGAAGCUGUGUCCUCCUGAGAGGGACUUUGACGUGAGUUGUGCCCUGUUCUCCCUUUGCCAAUUUGAAGUCCGGUUCUCGUGCCUCGGAACAAUUUAGAGAAAUAUUUAACACCGUGAUUACAGUUUAGCAUCGUAAACGUGAAGCGCAGCUUCUGUGGAUGACCAUAUUGCAAAAUAUUGGCUCUUUUAUUAAAGAUAAAAGCCUUAGCUUAAGAUAAUAGCCUAAGCUAUUGCCUUAGCUGGUGUUUGCCUGUCACUGGGGCUGCAGAGGGGACUAGGAGCCUCCUUGAAUGCAGCUUGGCCAGGCCGUAGGGAGGAGGGGACUUCCACCUAAGUGUCUGGAGGGGCGAGGUCUCAGGCAGCGCCUGGAGUUUCAGGGGUGACAUCUCUUUCCCUUUGGUACGUCCCAAAUUUAUACCAGAGCUCUAAGUAGGACCCCCAGCAGGAGAAUUUUUCAGUAGUCUGAUUUUCCAUGCCCAGGAACACUUCAAGGAAAUACAUUCUAGGCACCAAUUUCUCCAUUUUCUACUUUCGCAAAGUUUUUUGUUGUGUUUUGUUUUUUGGUGGUGCGUUUCAAAGUUCCGAGAACUUGAGACACGAUGCUCUCAAGAGAGGUGACAAAAAAAAAAAGAGUUCAUUCGUAAUGUGUCACGGGGAUAACAAUAACACCUACCUGAUAGGCUUAUCUAGAGGUUUGUGUAAGUCAACACUACUGGUAAAGCACUCAGAACAUUGGCUAGCACAUGAUGAGAGCCACGUAAUCAAUCGGCUUGUUAAGUAAACCCACAGCCGAGCUUGGUAAAGGCUGCCUUGCCCCUGGCGAGGAGACACUCGGCCCUCCUUUCUACCAUCAGUAGCACUAAAUCACAACUCCGACUUCCUUAGUGGAGAGCACUGAGGGAAGAACGGGUCUGUAUUGUAACAAAAAUAGAACAGAGUUUCAGGCACACAAACUCUAGAGCAAGAUGUAAAGAUCAAAGAACAUCUCGUGUUUUUGUUCUCUUUCUGUUUUGAACCGUAUCUCACGAGACUGAAAGGGGUGCCACAUGUUCCUUGAGGCAGGUUAUCAAGGCCAGAUAUGCAGAGGUUAAGGAGACCUCUUUUCCCACGGCAGUAGAGCCCACGCUGUGGGCUUCAGGAGUACUCAAGUGUCUUGUGGCACAUUCGGGAAAUGGCGUUUUUGAUACACAUCUUAGAUGAUCCUGAUGCGGGUGUUUUGAGAAUCGCCCUUGGAGAAACACAGUUCCAGUCCAUUGUUAAAGUACAAAUUCAAAACUUUUGAGGUACGCUGGCAUUGAAUAAGCUACCUGGUGUUUUGCGUUUUUUAUAAUUUUGGACGGAAUGAGAAUAAAGAACCUAGUAACCGUUAUUCCGGAUUCUCACAUGCAAAAUGCAUGUUCUUUGAAUAGCAGUUUCCUUUAUUUAACAUUUCUGACCUAACCUUCAAUAUCACAUUAGAGUCCUUAAUUCUUUUUCUGUUUUGUAAACUACUAAGAAGCAGUUGAGUGGUUCAAGCAAUCCAAGAGCGUGUAUUCCAAAAAAUAAUACCGUCUGGGUGUGAGCGUGGCACGUACGCCACGGGUAAAGCUUUGUACGUAGGGAUUUUCUUCAAUGCUUCUGCAGUGCACCACGAAGCAAGGUUCAGCAACGUUUUAGCCGGCUCUAUCAAAAUUUUUAAAAAUCGAUGAUAGAUCAGUCUAUUAAAAUAACUAUGCUUAUAGCCAUAGGGUGCAUUACAGUACAUGAAAGUAUGUUUUAUUGUUUAUUCAUUUUUGAGUUGAUAAAUGUAAGAGUGUGGAUGGAUUUUAUCUGCGGCUCAAUAUAUAACUUUUAAUUCGUGUGUAUGUAUUAGAAAAUGGCUCAUGUUAGAUGACUUUCAAACAACUUUUAAAAACAAUGUCAUUAAUAAAUGUCACAUCUCAUGGAAACCAUGGUUUUCCCAAAGAUGAAAAUUACAGGAAACAGGACCAUUGAAUUCUAGGAAAUUAGUGUCUCUACCAAGGACAAUGGUCUUUUAAAUUUCGACAUUCCUUUGAAGUCAUGCCUUUUCAGAUAAGCAUGUGGGACAGUAGGUGCUUAUAUACAGUGACUUUGGGUUAUGUUGAUGGUAUUAUGAGAACUCUGGCCUUUUCCGAAUGCUCAAAUUUACCGUGUUCGGUCAGCAUUUGUUUUCCUGAAAUAUUUUUUUUCCUAAAGAGAAGAAAUGUCAUUUAGUGUUUAAAGACAUCACCUUUCUGUCUUCCAAUAUAACAUAACAGGGACUUUAAAUUUCCUUUCGUACUAGUAAGGUGAAACCAUCAUUUGCUGGUUAGUAUGAUUAAUUCAUGAAAAUACCAGAUGGUAAGGAGUGUGUAUGAAAGACAGGAGCUCUAGAGGAACCACAGUGUUACAUUGCAUGGGGGAGAAAAGAGAAGUUAUGACCUCUAUCUAAAAGAAACCCAAGGAGUGAAAGAAAAACCCCUCAGAAAAUGCACAUGGGAAGUGAUUAGUGGCAGUUGAACAAAGGGCGGAUGUUAAGUGAAACAUUUUAAGGACUAAGUAUAUGUGAACUCGGGCCCUGAGUGAUUUAAUAAGGAUGAUAUUCAUGGCCUAAGUGUAGAGCCAUACAUUUUUCCAAGAGCCCAGAACAUUCUCAGCGGCUGUGUCAUAAGUGGGGGCAUUGUCUUUCUUGCCUAACCUAUUUUUACAACCUCUUUUAAGUGGACACUCUGCCCACCUUCCACAAACCCACCAUGGCAACCUCCUACAUAAAUUCCUCCAUAUUUGGACCAUUGCUUGGAGGAAAAAAAAAAUCCACACUUCUUAAUAAUUGUAAGCUACAACUAAAGUUACAACUCUUUGGAACCAAAAGAUCUAGGUAGAAUUGGACGAAGCUUGGCAAUUUUGUAGCCUGUGGAAAACUAAUAGCCCUAAAAGAUUUAUGGGAACUUGAGGGCCUGUUCUACCUCUUUAGUUGUGUUUCUGCAAGGGCUGGUGGGUUGUCCCAUGUGUGAAACCUAGUUCCUUUAUGAGAUCUCACACACACACACACACACACACACACACACACACACACACAGAUAAUCUACUCACAAAAACCAUGGAUCUACUCAGGAAUAUACAGGCUGCUGAAGGUCUGUGGUCCUUGGGGAGAAGCUACAUUGUAUACGGCAGACACAAGAGUUCUCCCCCUUGCCCUUCUCUCUCCUCACAUUCUCCCCUCCUCCUCUGAAGCAAAACAAACUUCUCUCAUUGCUGCCUGUGCAGGCACUAAAAUGAUGAACAUUUUUGGUUGUCGGGUCAUAAAUUUGGGGUUUCACCAUCCAUCUCAAGGUGCUCUAUGAAGAGUUUUUCCCACUACAGAAAGUUCUCCUGUGGUGGGUCUCUUCUCACGGUCCCUCAGAAUUUUGUCUGUCCUGCCCUAUGGACCACAUCAACGAAAGCCUCCCACCUUAGGCUUCCAGUUAAGAUUCAGCUAGUGGGAGGCCCUGAAGAUGAUAGGAGGCUGGGGGAAGGGGAGGUCGAGGCACACCUUUCCUCCGUGGCCUCUGGGAGAUCCCAGGGUGGGUCGUGUCCCUCCUCAUUGCCCUCUCUGGGUCUGGCCUGUCUUCUAUUUCCUCUUCAGGCCUAGGCUUGGCAAAGGGUUCCCAGGGAGUGACGUGAGCCCUUUUUGGUAUCUUUAAACCCUGAUCCACCUUUGUGAAUAGUCUGUUAACGCUACUCAAAUUACCCAGCUGAGUGUGCCAGGAGUCUGACUUCCUGUGUUGAAUUAGGUGCCGGCUGUAAUCGUGUAAUUUCUCCACUUGAAACCACGUGGUGUGUAUGAAACUUAAUGUUCCACCUUUCCUUGAACCUAAUAGUGUUGUAACUCUGUGCCUCUGUGCCUUCCUGUGUUUGCCCUCCUGCAAUAUAAUGCUCUUUUUCCUCCUUUUCUGCCUGGCACAUCUCUCUUUAAGAUCCCUCUCAGAUAUCACUUGUCUGGGGCGUCUUUUCUCUGGCCCCCUGCCCAGAAGUGUUGCUCCAAGUGUUUUGACCUAUUUGUCUCUCUCCCCCGGAAUUAUGCCUUCGUUCAUUCACUUAUUUCCCCAAACAAUUAUUUACUUACUUAUCUUCUACAUUUCAGACACUGUUCUCAAUCCAUGGGAACACAACACGAACAAAACAAAGUCCCUGCCCUCGCGAAGCUUACAUUCUUGUGGGAGAGACAAACAGUAAAUCAGUGAACAAACAGGUUUAUGGUACAUCAGGUAGGAAUAUAUAUUAUGGAGAUAAACAGACCGGCUCAGGGGUACCCUGUGUUGGAACAAGAAGUCUACAAAAGCAUAGUUGUUGCCUGGAAGGCCUGAGGGCAGAGGUGGUAUUUGAGCAGAGCCCUGAGUGAAGUGAGGAUAGUAUCUGCAGGUGAGUCUUUUAGCCCAGGAAACAGCAGUGCAAAUGUCCUGAGGGAGAAGUGUGCUUAGCACUUGCGGGGUAGAGCAUGGAGCCCAGUGGGCUGCGGGAGCCCUAGGAUAGGACAUGAGGGACUUCUGGGGAGAGGUGAGCUCAGGGCAAGCCUCAUGGGCGAGGACCACAGAUUUGAAACCUCCUGGGGAGCUGUAAGGAGUGCCCUGACUCGCCUAUGUAUUUUGUGACCCCCAGUGCCUUGCACCGUGUCUGGAUGGACAGGAGAUUAAGUUGUAGUAGUUGUCAGUUAAUUCUGUGAUCCAACCGUCCCCCGCCUGUAGCCAACAUAACUUCCCUACGUGUGACAAAGAUAACUGUCCUUUCUUGCAGAUGUAGCACCUUGCAGUAGAGCUGACAUCCAAGGUGACAAGGCUGGGGAGCGGCCAGCCCUGUCCCAGCUAGUCUCUGCCUGUCUGUCUGUCUCUUCCUCGUGCGCGAAGUUCUGUUCAAACCACAGGCACCGAACAGCAUGCAGCACACGACACAAACUUGGUAAACUUGAAGCCAGGCAACAGAGAUGCGGCUCCACGGCUGUCAGAGCUACGAGCUCAUUUUUCACAGAUUUCGGCUAGUUAUUUCUAGUUUCUUAGGUCAAUUUUUGUUGAAUUAAAAACAAUGAAGGUCUGGGGCGCCUGGGCGGCUCAGUCGGUUAGGCGGUCGACCUCGGCUCAGGUCACGAUCUCGCGGUCCGUGAGUUCGAGCCCCACGUCG
rnacentral:lncRNA from 1 species